rnacentral:rRNA from 1 species
GACGAACGCUGGCGGCGUGCCUAAUACAUGCAAGUCGAGCGGACAAAUCGAGAGCUUGCUUUUGAUUCAUUAGCGGCGGACGGGUGAGUAACACGUGGGCAACCUGCCCUGUAGACGGGGAUAACUCCGAGAAAUCAGUGCUAAUACCGGAUAACACGAAAUGUCGCAUGACGUUUCCUUGAAAGACGGCGCAGGCUGUCUCUACAAGAUGGGCCCGCGGCGCAUUAUCUAUGUGGAGAGGUAACGGCUCACCAGGGCGACUAUGCGUACCAGACCUGAGAGGGAGAUCGGCCACUCUGGGACUGACACACGGCCCACACUCCUACGGGAGGCAGCAGUAGGGAAUCUUCCGCAGUGGACGAAAGUCUGACAGACCCACGCCGCGUGAGCGAAGAAGGCCUUCAGGUCGUAAAGCUCUGUUGUUAGGGAAGAACAAGUAACGCAGUAACUGGCGUUACCGUGACGGUACCUAACGAGAAAGCCACGGCUAACUACGUGCCAGCAGCCGCGGUAAUACGUAGGUGGCAAGCGUUGUCCGGAAAUAUGGGGCGUAAAGCGCGCGCAGGCGGUUCCUUAAGUCUGAUGUGAAAGGCCGCGGCUCAACCGUGGAGGGUCAUUGGAAACUGGGGGACUUGAGUGCAGAAGAGGAAAGCGGAAUUCCGCGUGUAGCGGUGAAAUGCGUAAAGAUGUGGAGGAACACCAGUGGCGAAGGCGGCUCUCUGGUCUGUAACUGACAAUGAGGCGCGAAAGCGUGGGGAGCAAACAGGAUUAAAUACCCUGGUAGUCCACGCCGUAAACGAUGAGUGAUAAGUGUUAGAGGGUAUCCACCCUUUAGUGCUGUAGCUAACGCAUUAAGCACUCCGCCUGGGGAGUACGCUCGCAAGGAGUGAAACUCAAAGGAAUUGACGGGGGCCCGCACAAGCGGUGGAGCAUGUGGUUUAAUUCGAAGCAACGCGAAGAACCUUACCAGGUCUUGACAUCCCCUGGCAACCCGAGAGAUCGGGCGUUCCCCCUUCGACGGAGGACAGGAUGACAGAUGGUGCAUGGUUGUCGUCAGCUCGUGUCAUGAGAUGUUGGGUUAAGUCCCGCAACGAGCGCAACCCUCGUCUUUAGUUUCCAGCAUUCAGUUUGGCACUCUAAGGUGACUGCCUGCUAAAAAUCAGAGGAAGGUGGGGAUGACAUCAAAUCAUCAUGCCCCUUAUGACAUGGGGUACACACGUGCUGCAAUGGGCGGUACAAAGGGUCGCGAACCCGCGAGGGGGAGCCAAUCUCUAAAAGCCGCUCUCAGUUUGGAUUGCAGGGUGCAACUCCCCUGCACGAAGCCUGAAUCGCUAGUAAUAUCGGAUCACCAUGCCGCGGUGAAUAUGUUUUCGGGC